rnacentral:rRNA from 1 species
GACGAACGCUGGCGGCGUGCUUAACACAUGCAAGUCGAACGAAGAGCGAUGGAAGCUUGCUUCUAUCAAUCUUAGUGGCGAACGGGUGAGUAACGCGUAAUCAACCUGCCCUUCAGAGGGGGACAACAGUUGGAAACGACUGCCAAUACCGCAUACGAUCUAAUCUCGGCAUCGAGGAUAGAUGAAAGGUGGCCUCUACAUGUAAGCUAUCACUGAAGGAGGGGAUUGCGUCUGAUUAGCUAGUUGGAGGGGUAACGGCCCACCAAGGCGAUGAUCAGUAGCCGGUCUGAGAGGAUGAACGGCCACAUUGGGACUGAGACACGGCCCAGACUCCUACGGGAGGCAGCAGUGGGGAAUCUUCCGCAAUGGACGAAAGUCUGACGGAGCAACGCCGCGUGAGUGAUGAUGGCCUUCGGGUUGUAAAGCUCUGUUAAUCGGGACGAAAGGCCUUCUUGCGA